CUUGUUAUCACUGAAAAAAAUGCCAAGCAAAUCUUACUUGAUGUGGCACACAAAGAAAUUGUGCAAGAUUCAGCUUACAUAGCGGAGUGUUUGAGUCCAGUGUUGAAAGAACUGAAACUGCCACCAGGAGGACUGAAUGAACUGAUGAUCAGCCUUACUCCAACAGCUAGGAAAGUUGUAGCCAUACUAAAACAUGAAACACUCAACAACAGAGAAAGCCAGAUCAUGGAUUAUCUGAAGAGGUUUAUCAAGAACUCCAGUGAUGUUCGGCUCAGGAAGUUUCUGCGUUUUUGCACAGGAGCUGAUCUCCUUGUUGCAAAGUUUAUUCAUGUCUGGUUCGUUCAGCCAAAGAGUUUCUUCACACGAAGUCCCCAGUCCCACACCUGUGGAUGUGUGUUGGAAGUUCCAAAUAAUUAUACUUCGUACCUUGAGCUUGCAGAGGAGUUUGCAAAUGUCCUUGAUGCAAACAUAUGGGUGAUGGAUAUUGCAUAAGGGUGGUCAGACAGUAUGUGCAGCAGCAGCACCCGCAGGACCAUGUGAUUCCAUCUAACACUCGUUUCUUGCAAUAUACAAUAUUAAUUAUUGCAUCUUGCACAUCCAUAUAAUGUGUCAUAAAAUGCACAGAUGUUGUUACAGCAGUGCUUUAAUGUAAAGGUAUAUGAUUUUAUAGAUUCAAAUUUAAAUUGUUCUUACAAAGUUUACAAAAAAACUGUUAGAUGUUCAUUAAUUAGAAGUUUAUUAAUUAAUGCUGUUCUACUGAAUACAGUUUUUUAAAAUUAGUUACUGUAUCUUGCACAUCCAUAUAAUGUGCCAAAAUGCGUAGAUGUUGUUACAGCAGUGUUACAAUGUUUAGGUAUACGAUUUUAUAGAUUCAAAUUCA